UACGGGGGGGCAAGCGUUGUUCGGAAUUACUGGGCGUAAAGGGCUCGUAGGUGGCCAACUAAGUCAGACGUGAAAUCCCUCGGCUUAACCGGGGAACUGCGUCUGAUACUGGAUGGCUUGAGAUUGGGAGAGGGAUGCGGAAUUCCAGGUGUAGCGGUGAAAUGCGUAGAUAUCUGGAGGAACACCGGUGGCGAAGGCGGCAUCCUGGACCAACACUGACACUGAGGAGCGAAAGCCAGGGAGCAAACGGG
rnacentral:rRNA from 1 species